AUUGAACGCUGGCGGCAGGCUUAACACAUGCAAGUCGAGCGAGCGGCGGACGGGUGAGUAAUGUCUGGGAAACUGCCUGAUGGAGGGGGAUAACUACUGGAAACGGUAGCUAAUACCGCAUACCAUCAGAUGUGCCCAGAUGGGAUUAGCUAGUAGGUGGGGUAAUGGCUCACCUAGGCGACGAUCCCUAGCUGGUCUGAGAGGAUGACCAGGCCAACGGGAACUGGGACACGGUGCAGUCUCCUACGGGGGGCAUAAGGUGGGAAGAUUACACAAUGGGCUCAAGCCUGAUGCAGCCAUGCCGCGUGUUGGAAGAAGGCCUUCGGGUGGUAAAGCACUUUCAGCGAGGAGGCGUUACUCGCAGAAGAAGCACCGGCUAACUCCGUGCCAGCAGCCGCGGUAAUUC
rnacentral:rRNA from 1 species